rnacentral:rRNA from 1 species
UACGGGGGGAGCAAGCGUUGUUCGGAUUUACUGGGCGUAAAGGGCGCGUAGGCGGCGUGACAAGUCACCUGUGAAAUCUCCGGGCUUAACCCGGAACGGUCAAGUGAUACUGUCGUGCUAGAGUACAGAAGGGGCAACUGGAAUUCUCGGUGUAGCGGUGAAAUGCGUAGAUAUCGAGAGGAACACCUGCGGCGAAGGCGGGUUGCUGGGCUGAUACUGACGCUGAGGCGCGAAAGCCAGGGUAGCGAACGGG